GUUUUAUCCUACAGCCAUUGGUUCUGAACCUCAAGAUGAAGGACUUGACUCUUGUGAUCACUGGAAACGAGUAAUGCAAGGGCAUGCGGGUGCUAAUGUGGUGCCAUUAGUGGCUUCAAAUCGCAUUGGAACUGAGAUUAUCGAGACAGAGCAUGGAGAGAGCAAGAUCACGUUUUAUGGAAAUUCUUUUAUAGCAGGACCAACUGGAGAAAUUGUUGCUGCUGCUAAUGACAAGGAUGAAGAUGUUUUAGUAGCAGAGUUUGAUCUGGAUAAAAUCAAGUCCAAGAGACAUGCUUGGGGAGUAUUUCGC
rnacentral:misc_RNA from 1 species